rnacentral:rRNA from 1 species
UACGAAGGGGGCUAGCGUUGUUCGGAAUCACUGGGCGUAAAGGGCGCGUAGGCGGCCAUUCAAGUCGGGGGUGAAAGCCUGUGGCUCAACCACAGAAUUGCCUUCGAUACUGUUUGGCUUGAGUCCGGAAGAGGUAAGUGGAACUGCGAGUGUAGAGGUGAAAUUCGUAGAUAUUCGCAAGAACACCAGUGGCGAAGGCGGCUUACUGGUCCGGUACUGACGCUGAGGCGCGAAAGCGUGGGGAGCAAACAGG